CUGAUCUACGUGUACAAGUAUAUUGCUUUCUCAAAAAGAUGAAAUAAUGAAAUACAAAGCCACUUUCUACUACAGAAGAGAUGACUACCUUCUUCUAGGAAUAGCUCUGUACAAAAUGGGACUGCUACGAUUGGCCUUGGUCCCACUAAGCAAAGCAGAAUCCUGAAGUUUUUUUUGGAGAAAAAUCAAAGAGGUAAAAGUACCAUCGAGCCAACAAAAUCAGGUACUUAUUUAGUUCACUCACAUAAGCCUACCCAGACUCAAAUGAGAUCAUGCUUUCUUGUCUUAGGAAGAAAUGACUCAGAAACAUACAUUGUAAUGGAAUUAAAAAUCGAGAUUUUACUUCAAUUGAUUGGAAAAAGGGCUGCAAACUAUGCCCAUCACUUGCUUAAUAUACUGUCAAAAUUUGUGGAUCAAAUUUUACUUGUUCUAAGGAAACUGUCAUAAUCUAUUUGCCCCCUACCCCAUAGUGCUGGGGAUGAACCUAGGGCCGUGCUUACUAUGCAAGCAUUUGAUUACUGAGCUACACCUCCCCUCCUCAAUUAUUUUUGUAAUGAUAGAAAUUGUAUCUUAUGGAAUGGGUGUUAAAUGGUAUUCCAUGAAGUUCAGAAGUACUUUUGCUACAUUAUUUGUUUUUAUAAAUUUAGAUAUAAUAUUUGUGUAUCUUUAUGGGGUAUAUUAUGGUAAUUUGAUACAUGUAUAUGGAAUAAUAAUCAAAUCAGAAUAGUAUGCAUUUUCAUCUUUUUAAACAUUGAUCACUUUUAUGUGUAGGGGAUUUUGUACUCUUCUAGACGUUUUGAAAUAUAUCAUAGAUUGUUUCAACCUAUAGUUACCCUACUGUAUUAAAGAAGAACCAGAAUUGAUUCCUCUGCUGUUUUGGUGCCUCUUAACUGAACUUCUGUUUCCCAUUCAACUCCUGACUUCUCAAUCUUCAGUGAUCACUAUUCCUUUCCUUUCUACAAGGCUGACUUGUCAGUUUCUGCAAAAGAGUGAGAACAUGUGGCAUUAGAGUUUGUGUCUGACUUAUUUCACUGGAUAUAAUGAUCUCCAGUUCUCUCUGAAUUGCUGCAGAUGAAAAGAUUUUAUUAUGGUCAAAUAAUAUUCCACUGUGUAUAUAUAUAUUUUUUCUUUAUCCAUUCAUUCACUGAAGGGCAUUUGGGCUGAUCCCACAUUUUAGCUGUUGUGAAUAGUACUGCAAUAAACAUGGAAAUGCAA